rnacentral:lncRNA from 1 species
UGUGCCAUUAGUGGUGCCUAAAACUUGCAGUAAAAUAUUGAAGACAAGGGAAAAUUCCUGCUCAGUUAGUAAAACUCUCCUAAGCAUCUAAGUGAUAAGUAAAAUGUCACUGAAAUAUUAGGAAGGGGAGUUCCUACAUGGCGCAGUGGAAACGAAUCCGACUAGGAACCAUGAGGUUGCAGGUUCGAUCCCUGGCCUUGCACAGUGAGUUAAGGAUCCGGCGUCGCCAUGAGCUGUGGUGUAGGUCACAGAUGCGGCUUGAAUCUGGCGUUGCUGUGGCUCUGGCAUAGGCCAGCAGCUGCAGCUCUGAUUAGACUCCUAGCUGGGAACCUCCAUAUGCCAAGGAUGCAGCCCUAAAAGGAUCCAAAAAAAAAAAAAAAAAUUAGGGAGAGCAGAGAGGCUUGUGCUUAGUUUUGUUUCCUGUCUGGAGGGGAAAUUUGCAACUUUAGCCUUUGGGAAAACAUUUAGAACUGAAUUUGAAGCAUAAGUUAGCUGUGUUCAUGUACUUCAACAGUAUUCUGUCUAAACCAAAGCUAAGAGCACUGUGGGCCUCUUCCUGCUCACAUACUCUCUUUAACAUUCUUAUAUGUACACACACUCACACAUGCUAAUCUCUCUCAAACUCAUAUUCUUUUCUUUUUUGGCCACGCCCCAUAGUAUACCGAAGUUACAGGGAUGGAACCUGCCCCACAGCAGUGGCCCAAGCUACCAUGACAACAUGGGAUCCUUAACCCACUGAACCCCAAGAGGAACUCCCAUAUUCUCAUUCCAAUACUCUAAAUACUCUCUAAUUCUUUCACACUCACUCUCCAUUUCUGUAGGUAAGCCAGAAGGGGGUAUAGAGGUUUCUGUAAUUUCUGCAUAUUUGCCACACUUCAAAGGCCAGAGAUAAAUACAGGCAGUCAUGGCCUACUAGGAUCCCACAUUUAAUGUCCUCUGCGGUGGCUGAGACCACCUUGCCUGUUCUCUUUAACAGCCCUGGUGGGGAAGUAGCGCCACCGUCUGGAGGGAUCAAACUCUCAACUCUGACUUCUUUCUGCCUUGCGCCCUCUGGGGGCCAAAGGAUAUUUUUGCAGCAUCCUCUAUUUUUCUACAAUUAAAUUAACAACCUCUUUUUUAUUUUUUGUCGUUUUAGGGACGCACCCUCGGUUCCCAGGCUAGGGGGUCUAAUUGGAGCUGUAGCUGAAGGCCUACAGGCCUAUGCCACAGCCAUAGCAACAUGGGAUCCAAGAGACACAUCUGAACAAGGCCAGGGAUCAAACCUGUGUCCUUAUGGAUACUAGUCAGUUCGUUAACCAUUACAACCUCUUUUUAUUUUUUUAUUUUGUGGUGCACCGGUUGCAUAUGGAAAUUCCCUGCCAGGCCAGGGAUUGAAUCCAAACUGCAGCUGCAAUUUAUGCCACAGAUAUGUCAACACAGGAUCUUUUAACCCACUGUGCCAAUUGGGGGCUUGAACCCACUCCUCUGCAGUGGCCUGAGCUGCUGCAGUCAGAUUCUUAACCCACUGUGCCAUAGAGGGAAUUGUUGCACACAGCAAAUUCGAUGACUUAUUUAGUAACGAGGUUAGAGUUUUUAAAGUAUGCGCAUACUUUGUGAUGGAUUGCGGGCCCUCAAGCUGUUUAUUCUUACCACUUACAGUCUAAUCUUAAAGGUUGAUUUUUAGGUCAGAGUAAAUCCAUUCUUCACAAAACACAUUAAAAACCAAAACCUAGGAGUUCCCGUAGUGGCGCAGUGGUUAACGAAUCCGACUAGGAACCAUGGGGUUGCGGGUUCGGUCCCUGGCCUCGCUCUGUGGGUUAAAGAUCUGGCGUUGCCGUGAGCUGUGGUGUAGGUUGCAGACGCGGCUCGGAUGCCGCGUUGCUGUGGCUCUGGCGUAGGCCAGUGGCUACAGCUCUGAUUCCACCCCUAGCCUGGGAACCUCCAUAUGCCGCGGGAGCAGCCCAAAGAAAUGGCAAAAAGACAAAAAACCAAAAACAAAAAACCAAAACCUAGAAACUAAUUCUCCUUGAUAUGCACCAGAAGGAGAAACAGAAUACAGAUCAAGAAAAAGCAUUGAUAGUCCAUGCGAAUAUUUUUAGAAUAUGUAAAUUAUCAAUACAAUGCAGUGAAAAUAGUCAUCUUCUAUGUGAUAGGAACAAGCAAUCUGCCAAUUCACUGAAGGAAAAAAAAGCUAGAUAGAACAGAGGAUCCAAUAUGUUCUGUAUACAUCCAUUGUCAAUCUUUGCAAGAAGGCCAAGGCCCAUCCUUAAACAUGUGUCUCUUGAUUGGUCUGCAUUGUUUUUCUUGCGUAAACCAAAUCCAUGGGUAUAUAAUCUCUAGCUCUGGGGAAUUCCUGUCUGUGGCUCAGUGGGAACAAAUCUGACUGGCAUCCAUGAGGACGCAGGUUCAAUCCCUGGCCUUGCUCAUGGGUUAAGGAUCUGGCAUUUCCGUGAGCUGUGGUGUAGGUUGCAGAUGUGGCUCGGAUCCCACAUUGCUAUGGCUGUGGCACAGGCCAGCAGCUACAGCUCUGAUUGGACCCCUAGCCUGGGAAUCUCCAUAUGCUGCAGGAGCGGCUCUAGAAAAGGCAAAAAGACAAAUAAAAUAAAUAAUUAAAUAAAAUAAAACCGUUUAAAAAAAACUGUUAAAAACACUAAUUUAAGAAAAUAAAUAAAAUAAAAUGAGCAAAAUGUGCAAAUUCCCAGCUGCCAUGGCAUAACACUGUCCCCCCCCCCCCAGAUGUUUUGCUUGCUUUUUUUUUUUUUUUUUGUCUUUUUGUCAUUUCUAGGGCUGCACCUGCAGCAUAUGGAGGUUCCCAGGCUAGGGGCCCAGUCGGAGCUGUAGCCGGCAGCCUACACCAGAGCCACAGCAACUCGGGAUCCAAGCCCCGCAUCUGCAACCCACACCACAGCCCAUGGCAACACCAGAUCUCUAACCUACUGAGCGAAGCCUCAUGGUUAACCACCUCAUGGUUCCUAAUUGGAUUUGUUAGCCACUGAGCCACAAGGGGAACUCCUUGCUUGCAUUUUUAAAAUAGAAAUUAAUUAAUAAAAUAAUUUUUCAAGAUCUGCUUUUUAAAACAUUUUACACACAUUCCUUUCACCUGUUACUCUACACCAGGCAUGUGCUUCCACUUAACCAUCACCUCUAUCUCAGUCCAGCUGUUCCUAAGGAUUGGUGUCCACACUGAGUAGGAUACUAAAGAUUGUUGCCUUUUAAUGCGCUUUGUAUGUUUCCGAUCUUUGGCCCUGGCUUCCGAAUCCCUUGUUAUAGGCUCCCUGCAUGACAAUUUGAUGUGCCAAGGAAUAAGUAUGUUCUAUAAAGGGCUUUCUGCUAUAUUAUAAUGAUGGGAGUAUAAAAAAAACCAGAAUUUUGCACCUGUGUGUGAAGUCCAUAAAAUUACCCUUCUGUGUAGAAGUGCCGCUAGGAUUAGUUUAUAGUAAUACUUUGUAUCAGUAAGCAUCCAGUUUAACUGGGAGUGGCAAAAUGCCAAAAUAACAAUGGCUUAAAUAAGAUAAAAGCUGUUUGGUGAGUAGUUGAAAGGAAGUUCAACCCCAAAGUCCUCAAGGAGUCAGGCUCCUUCCAUCUCACUGCUUCCCCAUCCCUAGGCCAUGGUCCUUCUCCUCAGGUCUAAGGCAACAGGAUCUGCAUUUUAGGCAGCAAGAGAGAGGAGAAGACAAAGAAGAAGGGGAGGGUAGGUGAUUUUUCACAUCAUUGACUAGAACCUAGUCACAGACUACACAUAUAAAGUCUCCAUUUGGGGCAGCCAUGUACCCAACUGAAUAUCACACAUUUUGUCACCUUGGAAGAUGGGAAACAGGUACUAGAGGACAUGUAGCCAUCUCUAUCACCCAGUCCAACUGAGCUGUCCAGGCUUUUGCCUUCGUCUGACCUCUGAUCACACAUCCCUUUUUCUCAUCACUAAGGUCUCAUGACCUUUGCAGCCAGAUAUCCCCAACCCUCAGCUGUACCCACUUAUCAACUCAUGAUGUACUUAUCCACUUCAUCCCCCAAAGAAUGGAAAGGGCCAUAAAUACAUAUAUUCAUCAAGAUGACCAGAAAAAAGAGAACUUCCCGCCAGUAAAAGCCUAGAUGAAACAUAAGACAAGCAUUUGCACAGUUAUCCCUCUUCUGAGACCCAUGAGAAAUCUCUGGGAUUCAUCUCCUAGCAAUCUGCAUACAGGCCAAAUGCCCCCUCUUAUCAGACCACACCUUCCACCUCUGCUGAGCACUCAGCGUGCAGUCAAGCUGUGUCAACUCUCUGCUUUCACUACCUCUCCUAGCCAUCCCACUGAAGGAAUUUGUGUAGCCCAAUCCACAGCAGCGGGUCCUGCAUCCAACUCCUUGUCCUGCAUCCAUAGCCCAGAGCAUGUUACUAUAACCAGCCUUGAACACAGCUACCGCAAAAAACAGCACUGCCCACCCCACAGCAGAAAAAGUCAAAUAUAGAUGCAUACAUUUGCUGUUUUCCCAAAAGGGGGGAAAGCAAACAAAAGUUCCCUUCUUGUCCUCCAGAUUUAUUUAUUUAUAUAUUUAUUUAUUUAUUUUUGCUUUUUAGGGCUGCACCCACGGCAUAUGGAAGUUCCCAGGCUAGGGGUCAAAUCAGAGCCGCAGCUGCUGGCCUACACCACAGCCACAGCAACGUGGGAUCCAAGCUGCAUCUGUGACCUACACCACAGCUCAUGCUGGAUCCUUAACCCAGUGAGUGAGGCCAGGGAUCAAACCUGUGUGCUCAUGGAUCCUAGUUGGGUUCAUUAACCGCUGAGCCACAAAGUGGAAUUCGGGUUUUAACAUUUCACAUCCAUAGGUAACACCUUUAAUUGUAUCUGACUUGGUACUUAAGUUGUAACACACAUGCAUAAUGCAAGCCUAAGUAAUUGGAAUGUCUCCUCAGAAUGGCAGGGAACUCAAAGCCUGGUAUGUAAACAAGCAGAUCUGUGAAACUCAUCCAGGAGAAGUAGCCCUUUUUAGUACUGACAUCUUUCUUCAAAGUUUUUACAUGUUUCUUAUUUUUAUUUGGUCACCAAACUAGCCAUGUUCUGACUCUAACAAAAUGUUUAAUUCUAUAUAUGAUUUUUCCUUUAUUUCAAUGUUCCUGAUCCUAAAGGAGCCAUGUAAGAUUAAGAGCUUUCUCCUUUUACCUACUAAAAAGAAAAAGAAAAAAA